CCUAACUGGCCAGAAGACUUCAUGAAGAGAACGCCCCACGGGGGCUGAUGCUUCUUGAAGGAAAGGAGGCGUCCUUUGGAACAGCAGCUGGAGUCACGUGGCUUCUUGUGUCUUGUGUCCAAGAAUGGCAGAGAACAUGAACAAUAAGAGAAAAUAAACCCAUUACUCUAUUGAAGGAGAGAGCCACCAUCCUAUAUAUCUUGAUGGAACAUCUGCAUUUUUUUUUAUCUGUGUAUUGUAUUUGGUAGUUUACUAAAAUCGAUACCAUGCUGUUGAUAUGUUUUUGCCUUUCACUAUCUAUGUAAGAUUGUAAUACAUGUGUUUUCCUAGACCACAUAAAUGUUCUACUGAA